ACUAAUUCUAGACCUAAAAUAUACUAAUAUAUUAACUAAACCAUUUAUCCUAACUUAAAGUAUUGGAGAAAGAAAUUUUAACCAGGAGCUAUAGAAAAAGUACCGUAAGGGAAAGAUGAAAGAUUAAUAAAAGUAAAAAUAAGCAAAGAUAUAACCUUGUACCUUUUGCAUAAUGAGUUAACUAGAAAAAUCCUAACCAAAUGACUUAUAGCUAGAUACCCCGAAACCAAACGAGCUACCUAAAAACAAUUAUAUGAAUCAACCCGUCUAUGUAGCAAAAUAGUGGGAAGAUUUUUAGGUAGAGGUGAAAAGCCUAACGAGCUUGGUGAUAGCUGGUUACCCAAAAAAUGAAUUUAAGUUCAAUUUUAAAUUUACUAUAAGAACCUAAAAUCCAAAUGUAAAUUUAAAAUUUAGCCAAAAGAGGGACAGCUCUUUAGGAAUGGAAAAACCUAAAAUAGUGAAUAAAUUCAAAUUAAACUUAACCAUUGUAGGCCUAAAAGCAGCCAUCAAUAAAGAAAGCGUUCAAGCUCAACAUCAACUAUUUAUAAUCCCACAAUUUAUAAUAAAUUCCUACUUACAAAUUGGGUUAAUCUAUUACUUUAUAGAUGAAAUACUGUUAAUAUGAGUAACAAGAAUUUUAAUUCUCCAAGCACAAGUGUAUAACAAUCCGGAUAACCAUUGUUAGUUAAACAUAUAGGUAACAAUCAUCUAAUAAAACUACCUAAAUUAUUACCAUUAAUCCAACACAGGAGUGCUUUAAGGAAAGAUUAAAAAGAAUAAAAGGAAUUCAGCAAACACGAACCUCGCCUGUUUACCAAAAACAUCACCUCUAGCAUAAAAAGUAUUAGAGGCACUGCCUGCCCAGUGACUAAAGUUAAACGGCCGCGGUAUCCUGACCGUGCAAAGGUAGCAUAAUCACUUGUUCCUUAAUUAGGGACUAGCAUGAAUGGCUAAACGAAGGCUCAACUGUCUCUUAUUCUCAAUCAGUGAAAUUGACCUUCCAGUGAAGAGGCUGGAAUAAUAUAAUAAGACGAGAAGACCCUAUGGAGCUUUAAUUUACUAGCUUAAUUAAAAAAUAGUAACUCUACUGAAUUAACAAUAUAAUGAUAAGCUAAAAAUUUUGGUUGGGGUGACCUCGGAGAAUAAAAUAACCUCCGAAUGAUUUUAGCAUAGACUAACAAGUCAAAGCAAACUACCAAAUCUUAUUGACCCAAACUACUUUGAUCAACGGACCAAGUUACCCUAGGGAUAACAGCGCAAUCCUAUUUAAGAGUUCAUAUCGACAAUUAGGGUUUACGACCUCGAUGUUGGAUCAGGACAUCCCAAUGGUGCAGAAGCUAUUAAUGGUUCGUUUGUUCAACGAUUAAAGUCCUACGUGAUCUGAGUUCAGACCGGAGUAAUCCAGGUCGGUUUCUAUCUAUUCACAAUUUCUCCCAGUACGAAAGGACAAGAGAAAUAGAGCCAACUUAAUAAAAGUGCUCCAAACUAAUUUAUGAAUUAAUCUUAAUAUAAUAUAUCUGUAUAAUCUUACUCCUAGAUAAGGAU
rnacentral:rRNA from 1 species